ensembl:lncRNA LINC02538 long intergenic non-protein coding RNA 2538
GUGUUCGGCAUGAGGGUGCCUGCAGAGGAGGUGAAUCCCUGCGUUUUCUAUUCUUUUUUUCUUCCGACUGGUGUGGAUCCCAGACAAUUUCAGGGUCCUGCAGGGUUUGAGACCCUCUGUGAACACUGACCCGGGACCCCGUUUUGCCCAUGGGAAGUUGAAGCCAGCGCAGCCCCCGGCCAGGGGCACUGUCUCCUCGGCCCCGGGAUGCUGGACGGAGGGGACAACGUGCAGGGGCAGCUGCUGCUGGGCUGUGGACCUCCCGGAACCGGAGGAGCCCGGGAGGGGCUGGCCCAGCAGUGAGGGCUCCGAUGCGCCUCAAUUCAUAUGCUAAGGAGCCCUGGAUUCGGCUUUAAUUGCCGGAGUGGGAGGUGACCCCAGGGGCCCAAGCUGGGGGCGUGGCUGGGAAAUGCACAGAAAGAGACUUCGACGGGGGUGGCUAUGGUUUGUGCUGUGCUGUGCACACGUCUGGCUGAUAGAAAUCUAUGUCUAUAAACAGUUCCUUCCAGGUCUCCGCGGAAAACUGAAGAUUCCUGUGUGCUUUCAGAAAAGAGGUUCCAAGGAAAAGGGCAGCCAUUUAGUUUUCACAAGUCUGGGCAGUGAGCGAUUUGGAGCUUCCAUCCUUGGCUGACAUCAUGAACACCAAUGUUGCUGGCCUCGAUCGCAAGAAGGGUGGGACUUCGUGCUUAGCCUUCCUGGGGAAGGGCCUGUCCCUGGGUCACGUCCCCAGUGACCACAGGAGGAAGAGAAGGGAUGAGGAUCCUGGGGGGCCUGGCUCUGCGUCCACCCGUCUCUGUGUGGAUGCCUCCUGUGUCCAGGGUGAUAACCGGUCACCCGACUGUGUCCUUGGGGUCAUUCCUGGCUUCUCCUGCCGCUUGAUCACCCCUCUGGCUGCAGGGAGCCCAGGACGGAGAAGGAGAGACCUCAUUCUCCCUGGGGAAUGCAGGCUGAGACCACCCAUGCUUCUGGAGCAGGGUUUCAUGUGGGGGAGGUCCCUCCAGGGAGGGACAGUGAACUGACGCUGUGAUAUUGCUCAGGAUGGAGGCCCAGGGCAGACGGCGUCACCAGCUGCCGCAGAAGCCAGGUUGCCAGAGGGGCUGUGUCACCAGCCCUGGGGACGCCAUGUUGCUGUGCGUUUCGACACAUUCCUGUGGAGUGUCUGAGGAAAAACAGGGCACACGCAUUCCUGAUAAGAUUGCACCAAAAGGCCAGGGUGGGGGACCAGGCUCCCAGCCUCCCUCUGUCUCAGUUGGGGGCCGAGGGGCAGGGACAGCCAGGAGAAGGCCCAGCCAGAUGCUGCUGGCUUCCCCCAGGACUCUGCCCGACUGGCCUCUCGGUUAAACCUCCUCACCUGAGCCUCUCUUAUGGCGUGGUUGAGUCACACAUGAGAGGGUUUUGUCUGCCGGGAGGGGCUCUUCUUAUGGGACAACAGGGGCGCGAGGUGUGUGGUGUGGCUCUCAGGGAUGUGUCUGGACUCUAUCACGUCUGAGUGUCCCUGGGGCCAGAGUGCUGGGGGCAGGAGCCUGUGGUUUAUCAAGCACCUUCUGCCAGCUGAGGCCGUGACUUUUUGUCCCUCACUGGAGGAGGCUUCAAGGUCAGCCUCUUUUUCCUUUGGUCCCAAGCUUGCCGUGUCUCCUCCUCAUUCCCCACGUCCACAUGAGAAGGCAGUGUUCACAGGUGGGUUGGUCUGAGAUUGAAAUCGCAAGGCCAGGAUUUUCUGUCUGGGCAGCCCCCUCGAGUCAGCCUCAGAGGAGCCCAGACCUCUUGGAUGGCUUUCGGCGAGCCUCCCAGUGGGCACAGCACUCGCCACCGGACACUGCAUGGACUCAGCUUCCACACUGCGAUGGGUAUGGCCUGGUCCUUGCACUACCAGGGGCAAGGAGGAACGCUAUGCCUGGUGGGGGUGAGCACCCCAUCUCAUGACAAAGCAGUUCUCCAGGGUCUGCCCCACUUUUCUGUAAACCUGGGGGUCCAGCCCAGUGCAUUGGCUGGAAGGAGAGGGGACGCCUCCUGUCCCAGCUCAUGGCGCUCUGCCGACCCCACUGUCAGCCCCAACCUUGGUGCUCCGGGGGGCCCCAAUGCCAUAGAUGCACUUCAUGGGGAGCAACUGGGGCUGUUCCUGAGGACCAAGAUGGGCAGAGACCCUAAAGACGUCCAUGGAUUGACCCCUGCUCUCUGUGGCCCCUGCCUGGCUGGCCUCCCCUCCUCACACUCUCCACAGUUCUCAUGCAACACAGCGCCUCUAAAAAUGCUGUCCUGAAAAUGUGCGCUUUGGGGAAGAGCAGCUUCCUCCUCUUCGACCAAGUUCGGGUCCCUUCUACCCUUCAGUGGCUGUAGGCAGUCGGUGAGGGUCCUGGACGGGGUGGGCCGGGGGCAGGGAGGGGCACUGUGGGCUUUGGUUGCUCAGGGGUCCUGGCAGACACACCAACCUGGUGUGUUUGGAAAUGCACCUGGAUGUGUGCUGACCUCUGUGUGGAGGACCACGGGUCUGUUCAUCCCCCACUGGCUGCACCCCCGGGAGGCUGCAGCGUGCACUAUUCGGUCCCUACGCUGCAGUUAUUCUUGUAUCUGCCUUGUCACUGGCCUUGCUGCCCAUGACUCCCUCAGGUCAGCCCACGUCUCUGUCAAACUUUCAUCCUCCGCAAUUCUGCGCAGCCUGUAAAUGCUUAAAAAAUAUUGCGGAACAGGUGAGUCACAUUACAGAAAGGACGCAACCUGGAAAAGCACAGACAUUCCUUCCCCUUCUGCACCUGUUAGAGUAAGGGAGGGGCAUGAGGGGGUGGGACCUGCACAAGGUGCAGCUGAUAGAAAUGCAGUCUUCAGGAAAAGCCCUGGCUCUGAAACGGCAAAGGCUGUGUGCCUGGGAAAAAGACAAACGUGUCUUAUCCGGAGACGGCCCCCCUGCCCCAAAGGCUGUCACGCUGCCGUUCAGUUAUCUAUUCUGCAGCGAUAGAACUGGCUUGACCUAAAAAUUCAGUGACGGAAAAAUGUCAUCUAAUGCUGCUUAGUGCAGUCAGGCGGUCAGCAGAUGAGGGCAGAAGGCCACUGGUCUUUGACAGAACACGCGGAUGGCGAAAUAACAAAACAGGUGGCGGAUGAGGGCAGAAGGCCACUGGUCUUUGACAGAAUAUGCGGACGGCGAAAUAACAAAACAGGCAGCAGAUGAGGGCAGAAGGCCACUGGUCUUUGACAGAACACGCGGACGGCGAAAUAACAAAACAGGAUUCAGGCUGCACUGUCAGCAGCAGAGACAAACAAUUCUUCCAAAAUAAACAAGCGAGCUCCCAGCAGAGGCCUGUGAAGUCUCCCGUUCUGCCCAAACCACACACAUGUGGCCCACAGAGGAGGCUGCAGAGGCCCACGGGGAACUCAAGUGGCCGAGUGUGAGACCCAGGCCACCGGCCGUCCUCCCUGUCAGAACAAAAGGUUCAUGGAAAGGGCCAGGAGGACACAGCAAGGGGAACCGAAUGCCACUGGCAUUUCUUGGAUCUUUUGUACCAUAGUCUAAGCAUUUAGAGGAAGCACCGCGAGUUUGCUGCCCUGGAAGCUGACGUGCUCCCCAAACACAAGACGCAGGACUGGAGGCCUUGCCCCGCAGCUCGAGAGGCCGUUUUGGGACAUAUCAAGGAAGGAAGGCUUAAGCGACACAGGACCUGGCUGACUUACGCACCCGCUGUCUAAAGAUGGGGUGCUGGCCGGUGAACUGGAGUGGCUCACGGCAGACCUGGAGUGACAGUCAUGGGUCUGUACCUGUGUGGAGUCCUCCAUGGCUGGGCUUGCAGAGACUGAGCUGGACUGCAUUGCACAUUGGCUGGAAGGAGAGGAGCCACUGAGAGACCCAGCUUACGGCACUCUGCCCACCCCACUGCCCACCCCAACCCUGGCGCUCCAGGGGGGCCCAAUGCCACAGACACACUCCAGGGGGACAAUUGGGGCUGUUCCCAAGGACCAGGAGGGACAAAUGCCCUAAAGAUGUCCAUGGUUUGACCCCUGCUGUCUGUGGGCCCUGCCUGGCUGGCCUCCCCUUCUCACACUCUCCACAGUCCUCAUGCAACACAGCACAUCUGAAAAUGCUGUCCUGAAAACGCGCACUCUGGGGAAGAGCAGCUUCCUCCUCUCCGAGUGGAGCGGGCUGGCCCCAUGAGGCGUGAUUUUCACUGUGAAAUGUGCUUCACGUAACACUGGGGCCUUUGUCACCAUUUUUAAUUGUACAGUUUGGAGGCAUUAAGUGUGUUCAUCAUCACCACCUUCCACCCACAGAGCUUCUUCGUCUUCCCAAACGGAAACUCUGUCGUCGGUAAACACUCCCUCCCCUCCCACAGCCCCUGGCACCUGCCUUCUCCUUCCUGUCUCCAUGAACCUGACAACUCUUCGGACCCCACCUAAGUGGAGUUGGGCAGGAUUUGUCCUCUGUGGCUGGCUCGCGUCACUCAGCGGCCCUGAAGACUCAUCUGCGCCGCAGCCUGUCCCAGAAUCUCCCUCCCUCUAACACUGAUUAAUAUCCUGCUGCACAAAAAAACAAAGAUGAUCAUUUGAUACCCGAAAUCCACUUGAAAAUUGGUAAGAAAA